GGUAAUAGCCCACCUCCGAAACCUUGGGAACGAGCUGGGUCCUCUUCGGGCCCUACACCUUUUAAGCCCCCCUCUUCUGGUAACACGAGUGACGUAGUAGAGGCAUCCGGAACAGCCAGGCCUGGUGAGAUUGUUUCAACUGCUAAUAGGAAUACAACUGUUAAUAAUAGCACACUUGCAAGGCCUGUACCUCCUCGACCUUGGGAGCAACAGCAAACUUACGGUAGCGGAGGUAUAAGAUGUUUAUUAGUUCAUUCUCCCUCUCGCUCUUCUGUGUGUGUGUUUCGUGUUUCCAGUUAGCGGGUUAACUAUCCAGAAAUCUAUGAUUUCAAACAUGUCAUUUUUAAUCCUCAAAGACACUAUUGUAUGUCUUUCAUGCUAGGACAGCUGUUUUAUUGUUUUGUAGUGUCCUUUACAUCCUUAAGGUCCACUCUUGAUAUCACAAAUGCUGCCCCCCUUGCAUCAAAGACUGCUUAUUUAGUGAUGUGUAUUAUGAUCUCGGCUUUAGAAGCAUGCAUGUGAUUUUUCAUUAUCAUAACGCAAUAAGUGAUUUAUUAUUACGCACGCCAUCAUUAACUAGUCAAGUUCUUCCUUUAUAUAUUCUGAUUUGACUUACUGUGUAAUUCUAUUGCAUGCAUUAUAAGAUUGCCUUGUUUAAAAAGAGCAUUAUAAGGUUAUCGAAGUCUGAACUCAAACUGCCCCACUUAUCCCUUUUUUUGGUACUCAUCUUAGUCAUUGCUUCUGUUAAAUUGCCUUAACCUCUGAUUGAAUAUCCCAUGGAACUGGCAUCCAUUCUGCUAGUCGGUAUUACUUUCUAUCUUACGUAUCUAUUCUCGGGGAUGAAGUGCCUACUUGACUUUGAUUCAUUGGCAAUAAGAUGUAUGCAACCCAAGUUCUACUCUUCUUUAUACUCUGUAUUCCUGGAAGAACAAAUAGCAUCUGUGUGUUUACCUAGCCAAAUCUAAAUGUUGUUAUGGACAUACUCUUUUUCGUUUCCCCUUACACUGAAGAGGACUUUCUUGAUUGUUGAAGGUUUUGAUCUAGUAAUUGAAGUUAGUAAUUGAAAUUGAAGUAAGAGGAGCUUAGGCCUUUUAUAAAGAGUAUCGAUCUGAUUAUUUGCUUGAUUUUGUCAUAAUGCAGGUUAUAAUACAGGGAUGAAUUAUAAUUCUGGAUAUGGAACUGGAACUGGAAUGUAUGGUUCUUCUUAUGGCGGUGGCUAUGGAAGCACAUACGGAAGUGGUUUGUAUGGAAACAGUAUGUAUAGAGGAGGUUAUGGUGGACUUGCAGGUGGUGGCAUGUACGGUGGUGGAGGAAUGUAUAAUAGUGGGUUUGGUGGCUCAAUGGGGGGUUAUGGCAUGGGCAUGGGCAGCAUGGGUGGCAUGGGUGGCAUGGGCGGCAUGGGCGGCUUUGGGGACCAAGAUCCAAAUAAUCCCUUUGGUGCUCCAUCUUCCCCACCAGGUUUCUGGGUUUCCUUCAUGCACGUGGUAAGCUCUAACAGUACCAAAUAAUCUAUUUCUGUUCUUUAAGUUUGUUUUGGGGCCCCUAAAAUGACUUUGAUUUGCAUAAGUCCCUCGUUUGACCUGCGUUUCAAGUAAAGCCUAUAUUGGCCUUGUUGAAUUUUUGUUUUUGGAUUGCAUAAUAGACUAAUAUUAGGUGCAUGUGAAUGGGUAACGGAGCAAGGCCUCCAAAAUAAAGAGAUGGAAUCACAUAGGGAAGGAUAGAAAUUUAACAAGGCUUGUGAAAUCUCAAUGGCUUCUUGCAAGUCCUGGGUUUCUGUAAUGAGAUACUUUUUGUUAGACCCCAGUUUAUCCCCAAAAAAUUUAGUUAGAUCCCUUAAUGUUUUUGAUAAUAAGAUACAGGCCAAGUUUUAUAAAUUGUGUAAUCUCUCUUAUAUGACAUUUGUGAUUUUCUUGCCUGCAGUUAGUAGGUUUGUCAAUACCUAUGACUAAGAACUUGAGGCCCCCUUUGAAUUAUCAAAAAGUUCAAGGAGAUUUACCUGGUGCUAUUGAAAGUACUAGUAACAUAGGGUAUUAGUCUUUACUUUAUUGACAUCAUGUAUGUCUUUUGGCCUUGAUAACUAAUUGUUUGACUUCCUGUAAUUGUAAUAAUGUAGAUGCAAGGUGUUGUAACUUUCUUUGGCCGCGUCGCAAUGUUGAUAGACCAGAAUACCCAAGCAUUUCACAUGUUCAUGUCGGCACUGCUUCAGGUAUCUCUUCACUUACAACUGCCCUUGCAUCCCAACAGUUUUUAAGUAACUAGUGCUUCAUUUCAUUGUCCUUUAGAAAUGUAUUUCUACUGUCCUAAUAAUUUGUGGAAAAGCACUCAGGAUAUAUGACAUGAGAUUUCACUAAAAUGUCUUUUGCAGCUGUUUGAUCGCUCAGGAAUGUUAUAUGGAGAGUUGGCUAGAUUUGUGCUGAGAUUGCUUGGUGUCAAAACAAAGCCUAACAAAGUUCAUCCCCCGGGCCCUGGUGCACUUCCUGGUCCGCACCAUCCUCAUGGCAAUCAGAACUUUAUCGAGGGGCCUAAGGCUGCUCCAAGUACUGGCUGGGACAAUGUGUGGGGGGAUAAUGCACAAUGAUCCUUAGUAGUUAACU
rnacentral:lncRNA from 1 species